CAAGUAAACCCGAAGCAGAUCUUGCAUUUUGCUGGUCAAAGGCCGCAUCAAAGUAGAUUGAGGUUCUCGUACUACUCUCUUCAGUUCGCGGGGCACCAUCAUCUGCCAAGAUAAGUUUCUUCUCCUCGAUUCUUUUAAGCUCUGCGAAAAAAUCUGAAAUUUUAUAAGAGAUAUCCCUGCCUGUUGUUUGUCUAUUUUCGUAAACAAAUUUGUUUCUUCUCGUCCAGAUGGUCCAAAGCCCGCAGUAGAAGAUUCGACAUUGUUCCGUUGUACCGCGACUAAAAACCCAUAGCAUUCACGGAAGAUAUGAUUGCAAUCCUCCUCUUCCAGUUUACAACGAGGACAUCGAGCAUCUGCAAGCAUUCGUUUUUUCUUCAGAUUAGCAAAAGUAGGAAAGUAGUUCCAAGAGAAUCCCCAUAUUGAAGCUUUGAUUUUUGAGGGAAUUUGUAGAUUCCAAAGUUUUUUGUAAAAAGCUUUAGUCUCGGUUUGUAAAUUAAUAGGAAUUUGAGAACCCUAUUGUAAUAGUUUGUAUGCGCUUCGAACCGAAAAAAUGCCAGAAAGUUCUCCUCUCCAGACUUGAAAAUCUUCAGUUGCUGUCGUUGCCAGUGGAAUUUGCAAGAUCUUUUUAACAACUUCAGCAUUGAAGAGGUCCUCCCAAACAGCAAUACGAUCUCCUUUGCCAACCCUCCAGCAAAGUCCUUUUUCAAGAAUACCUCUUGCCAACCAGAUACUCUUCCAGGUAAGCGAAGGUAAAUUUCCUAAUUGAGCCUUUAGAAAACACGCAUUCGGAUAGUAUUUAGCUUUCAAUACUCGGCCUAGCAAAGAAUCUGGAUAAUUAAUAAGACGCCAAGCCUGUUUAGCUAAUAAUGCGAUAUUAAAUUUGUCAAGUUUUCUAAAUCCAAGUCCGCCUGCUUCUUUUAAGUCACAUACCUCCUUCCACGUACACCAAUGAAUCCCCUUCUUACCCCUAUUCUUCCCCCACCAGAAUCUGGCAAUUAUACCUUCCAAUUCAUUGCAAAGAGACUUAGGAAGUAAAAAGCACGCCAUAGAAUAAGUUGGAAUUGACUGUAAUACUGCCUUGAUAAAAAACCUCUUUUCCCCAUUGAGAGAGAAAUUUAACACUCCAAUUAUCAAUUCUUUAUUUUAAAUUGUCCUUCAACCUCUGAAAAGCUGUUUU